GAAACAGAUGCUAAUACCGCAUAACAACGAAAGCCACAUGGCUUUUGUUUGAAAGAUGGCUUUGGCUAUCACUCUGGGAUGGACCUGCGGUGCAUUAGCUAGUUGGUAAGGUAACGGCUUACCAAGGCGAUGAUGCAUAGCCGAGUUGAGAGACUGAUCGGCCACAAUGGAACUGAGACACGGUCCAUACUCCUACGGGAGGCAGCAGUAGGGAAUCUUCCACAAUGGGCGCAAGCCUGAUGGAGCAACACCGCGUGAGUGAAGAAGGGUUUCGGCUCGUAAAGCUCUGUUGUUGGAGAAGAACGUGCGUGAGAGUAACUGUUCACGCAGUGACGGUAUCCAACCAGAAAGUCACGGCUAACUACGUGCCAGCAGCCGCGGUAAUACGUAGGUGGCAAGCGUUAUCCGGAUUUAUUGGGCGUAAAGCGAGCGCAGGCGGUUGCUUAGGUCUGAUGUGAAAGCCUUCGGCUUAACCGAAGAAGUGCAUCGGAAACCGGGCGACUUGAGUGCAGAAGAGGACAGUGGAACUCCAUGUGUAGCGGUGGAAUGCGUAGAUAUAUGGAAGAACACCAGUGGCGAAGGCGGCUGUCUGGUCUGCAACUGACGCUGAGGCUCGAAAGCAUGGGUAGCGAACAGGAUUAGAUACCCUGGUAGUCCAUGCCGUAAACGAU
rnacentral:rRNA from 1 species